GAAGCGACGGAUUUGUUCAUCUAGUGUUUGACUCAGAAUGCUGAGUGCUAUAAACAGUGGGAAAAACUCUAUGUAGAGAAUGUUGGUGCGACAAUUAUUGUUCUUCGGAAACUCUCCACUGAGUGGCGAAAUUACUCGGCCAAAAUUUCCCCCGACACUCUCAAAGUAACACUUAAGCAUUUGAGGGCUAAAAAUGAAGAUGCCCUGUCAAGAAACACAGACCCCAGCCAAGUAGCAUCCAUCAAAGAAGCUGACAAGUACUGCAAGACAAUUUUGAUGAAGUUAACACAUAAU